rnacentral:rRNA from 1 species
UACGGGGGGGGCAAGCGUUGUUCGGAAUUACUGGGCGUAAAGGGUGUGUAGGCGGUCUGCUAAGUUAGAUGUGAAAACUCUGGGCUCAACCCAGAGCCUGCAUCUAAUACUGACGGGCUAGAGUUCUGGAGGGGGUAGCGGAAUUCCUGGUGUAGCGGUGAAAUGCGUAGAUAUCAGGAGGAACACCGGUGGCGAAGGCGGCUACCUGGACAGAGUCUGACGCUGAGGCACGAAAGCUAGGGGAGCAAACAGG